AGAUAAAUUGAUUUCAAGUGGUGACAAAAUGUGGCCUUCAGUGCACAUGGCGUGAAGAAAUGUGGAGUGUAUCUGGACGACUGCUUCAAAGACAGUUGCUGCCAGGGAUUCUUCUGCAAGCCAGAGGGAGAGAGUGUCGGAUACUGUGACAAACGAACUUAAAUAAAGUUUCAGAGAUGAUGAUUGCAAAUUUGUUUGAAUACUUGUAUCAAUUUAACCAAUAUGUAGAGCAGAGAUUAUUAUUUAAAUAUUAGAAACUUUUGUUCGUUUUUAAUUAAUCCAAAAUUUAAAAAUA